rnacentral:lncRNA from 1 species
CAAGCUCCUACUUGAGAAUUUAAAUCUACUAAACCGUAUUCAACAAGAAUACAAUAUCAGUACCUCCGACUCUAGCUAUCUCAAGCUAGAACACUUAUUUUUUGUGUACAAGCCAACCCAAUACAAUCUGAUUCAAAGAUCGAAUCAAUCUAUUCACGUUUUGGAAUCCUUCCAAAACUCAAAAAUAAGAUCAAAACAGAGUAUAA